UUGUUUGUUGGGUUCUGAGCUUGC
rnacentral:piRNA from 1 species